AGUGAACGCUGGCGGCGUGCUUAACACAUGUAAGUCGAACGGAUGAAAUAAGCUUGCUUAUUUCGUUAGUGGCGCACGGGUGAGUAAUGUAUAGCUAACCUGCCCUUUAGUGGGGGACAACAGUUGGAAACGGCUGCUAAUACCCCAUACUCCGAUUUAAUAUAAGUUAAAUUGGGAAAGAUUUAUUGCUAAAGGAUGGGGCUGUAUUGUAUCAGCUAGUUGGUAGGGUAAUGGCCUACCAAGGCUAUGACGCAUACCUGGUCUGAGAGGAUGAUCAGGCACACUGGAAUUGAGACACGGUCCAGACUCCUACGGGAGGCAGCAGUGGGGAAUAUUGCACAAUGGGGGAAACCCUGAUGCAGCAACGCCGCGUGGAGGAUGACGCAUUUCGGUGUGUAAACUCCUUUUAUAAGGGAAGAUAAUGACGGUACCUUAUGAAUAAGCACCGGCUAACUCCGUGCCAGCCGCCGCAGUAA
rnacentral:rRNA from 1 species